AAAAUUAAUAACAUUUAUGAAACAGGAGAUUUUAAAUCAGAUUUGAAGACUAGUAUGUUGCAUAUUGUAAGAAGAAAGGGGCGGAUGAUACCCUGCUAAUUGUAGAGGAAUUUAAUUUCUUUCAACAUUAUCGAAGAUAUUUACGUUGGUACUAGCAAGGAGACUGAAUGAUUCGAUGAAGAAGGGUGUCAUUUCAGAAUGAAAGGUGAAAAGAGAAUUGUCAAUUAUAUAUUUUUAUUAACAACUAUCGUUGAAGAGGUAAAUUAUAUUGGAUAUUUUUUAGAUAUGCGAGUAUUUUUUAAUGUAGAAAUGAUUUGGUUGUACAUUACUUUUAGAUUGGACGCUGUUUUCGUAUUGGAAUACGAGAAUCCGAAUUCCUUUGAAUUGAUUUUAAUCGACGAAGGAGAACGGGAAAAAGAUUUAUAAGAGACAUACACAAGGUAAUCAGAACACAUCAAAAGAUAUCUAGGUAAUUCAUUAAAAUUUAUUACAGAAUAUGGGGUUAAUCUAAAAGUAGAUCAGCUGUGUUAACGAGUCUAUCGAUAGUCGACUAGCCGAACACGUCUCGAAGAUCGAUAGCGACUAAGAAACGUAACAUGAACACGAUCCAACAGUAUCAUUCGGCCGGGACCUGCGAACACUUGAUAAUGAAACUAACGUUGACUUUAAAAGUAUGCGUGAAGAGAGAAGACUACAUUUCAAAUUAAAGUAAGCGACAGACACCAAAUGGAGAGCAGAAAUUGGGGAAUUCAUCAACACAGGUAUUUCUAGCCUUUUAGGAGUGCAUCAAAGAAACUUUGUGCAGGAAAGAGAAAGGUAAAAGCUCGCACUGUGAGAGCAGCUGGGAUAAAAGAUGUUUCUCACCCGCCGCGUAGUGAGGAACUCAUGAACUAGCACUAGAACAGUAGAACGUAGCGAGUUGGGCUCGCCGAUCGCCGCGAAGCAGCAGUCUGUGUGAGAGCGUUGGGCAGCGUACAUGUUGCUCGUAGCAGCUACCGCCUUCCAGUCAUUGAUUCAGCCUGUUCGGAUGUGGAAUUGUUUAUAGAAGAACAAAUAUGGGAUACAUCUUGUAAGGAGUUUCAAGUGUGUGAAAAGUUUUGUGAGGGUUUUACUGAUAAACCAGAUCUGAAGAAAAAAUGAAACAGGUUAAAGACAGUGGAUCCAGGUCCCACGCAAAUUAGUGUCGAUGAUGAAGUCGUGGCUGGUAAUGAAUCUCUGCAAGAGAUUGAUACUACAUCAGAAACAUCAACAGCCUCUCCCAGACCGUACGGAGUGAGCCUGACACAAAUUUGGACAAUACGGCGCAGGAUAAUUGGAAAUAACUUAGUAAAGUUUAUGAAUACUCCUAUGCCAAAAGGUACCAGACGAUGAUAAAUCAUUUUUUGAAUCAUUGCCGUUGGACACCGAAUUGGAGUUUAGAUGAGAAGUUAUUAGGUUACUGAAAAGGUUCAGGACCAUGAAUGAACAUCCCCAAUACAUCGCCCCCAUGAAGUUCUCAGCCAAUUGCAACCCCUCGAUCGUUUUCAAGAGUUCAAUAAUCAAUUACAGAUUCACCUAACCUAACCUCAUUUAUCUGUCAACGCUAUGACCACUCCUUCUCCAUACACGGUAACAGAUGGUGAAGAUUCUAUGGACCUUCAACAAUAGAAUGGAGCAGUUUAUAAGGGUUUCCAAAUGGACUAUAAUUGGUAACUUACAAUAAGUAAUUGAUUUUUGUACUUAAACUUGAAAUAAAGAUUUCGUUUUGAGAAACUGUGCCCUACAAGUA